rnacentral:rRNA from 1 species
UACAGAGGGGGCAAGCGUUGUUCGGAAUUACUGGGCGUAAAGGGCGCGUAGGCGGCCUUCUAAGUCGAACGUGAAAUCCCUGGGCUCAACCCAGGAACUGCGUCCGAUACUGGAAGGCUUGAAUCCGGGAGAGGGAUGCGGAAUUCCAGGUGUAGCGGUGAAAUGCGUAGAUAUCAGGAGGAACACCGGUGGCGAAGGCGGGACUCUGGGCCGAUACUGACGUGAGGAGCGAAAGCGUGGGGAGCAAACAGG